CGAUGCUGAAAGAAUGUUCGGGGAAAAAACAUCCAGAUCUUCAGAAGGCUAUUCAGAAUUAUAUAGAUGGUACGAAAGAGGUCAAUCAGGUUCAGCCUUCCGCUUCCAGUGAGACAAACAAAGCUGCAUCGGUUGCUGGUGAUGAGAGUUCACUUGAAGAUGGAGCUGCAAAAUCUGAAACAGAGGAAAGCAAGUCACAAACAGUUCCUCACGAUGCUGAGGCUAUUCCAGUUGCUAAGCCAGUGAGCAUAAGUGCAACUAUUUCCACUGUCUUGGCAAGUGCUGGGAAUACUUUGGAGGGGUCUGUGGCAGAACUUGUGUUGAGUCCUCUUCGACUUGCAUUUGAGACAAAGAACUUGAAAAUCUUAGAAUCUGCUUUGGAUUGUCUUCAUGUAUGUAUUUGUCAUGUUUUUUAUUUUCAUGCUCUGAAUUUUAUAGGUUAGCAUUGUGUUUAAAAUUUUCCAUUUGGCUCUUGAUAUCAGUUCUCCUGUGCGAAAGAUUGAGGAGAUUGAUAGAUGGGAAGUGAAUUUUGAGUUUAAUUGAGAGAUGUAAUAUGGGAACGGUAAAUUUGCAAAACAAGCUUGAAUUGUUGGUUUUUGAUUUGCAUGAUCAUGGAAAAAAAAUAUGAAAUUCUCUUUUACUAGAGA